rnacentral:tRNA from 1 species
GUUAUAUGGUUAGAGCGCCUCGUUCGCAAUGAGGAGGUCAGGGGUUCGAAUCCCCU